ensembl:lncRNA
GCUCCUGUACGGUGUACAUUUUAGGACAUCGUCAGGUAUCAGAAAAAAAAUUGUCAGGUGUCAGUUGUCAAAAAAAAAAAAGUCAGGUAUCAGACAAAAAAUUGUCAGGUGUCAGAAAAAAAGUUGUCAGGUAUCAGAAAAAAAAUUGUCAGGUGUCAGAAAAAAAGUUGUCAGGUGUCAGAAAAAAAGUUGUCAGGUGUCAGAAAAAAAAUUGUCAGGUGUCAGAAAAAAAAUUGUCAGGUGUCAGAAAAAAAGUUGUCAGGUGUCAGAAAAAAAAUUGUCAGGUGUCAGAAAAAAAGUUGUCAGGUGUCAGAACACAAGGUACCAGAGAGAAAAUCUUCCUGCAGGUGGCGCUGUUGUCAUGUCCCACCCGAAUUGAUUUCCAAAUACGUCAUCAACGUGUGACCGUGGGAGAGCGUAAGGUCAUUGACCUCACCGGAGUUUUACCGUGGUUCAGGCUCCUAACGACACAAGGUGAGAUUACCCAAAAAGGCUUUGAUAACAACAUAAAAAAGCUCCUGACAGCAGAAAAAUCAGAUGACACUACUUCAACACGUGGCAAUGAAUUUCUCAGUGCAGCAGAGGCCUUUGGUAAAGCCAAGAAACUACUACAGCCUCAAGUAAAGAAAAGGCAGUUUCCACUGAAUGAUAAACGUUUGGACCAUGCCAAAUCAUUAUUGAAGGUCAGACUGGCUCCCAUGGAGUGGAAGCCAAGAACUCAUAGAAAGUGUGGACGGUACCAGAAGUUAAUAAUGGACGAAGCUCCACCUCGAAUCAUUCUUCAAGGCCAUGAAACCUAUGAUGAUUUAAUUACCAUAGGCAAAGAACGCUUCUGGCCAGAGCGUACUGAGGGGAGUGAGUUCACUCUUUGCCAUUCUGACGGGACCAGGUGGAGUAAGCAGGAGUUCCACAAAGAAUACGGAACUGUUUCUGAUAUUACACAUAUGUGGAAAAGAACAAUAUACAUCGGGCGACGACAACUGGAGGUCGUGUGUUUGGAUGAUCAAAGUUCCAUCUCAGAUGAAGACCCUGUAACUAAAGUGGGUGGUGAUGAAAGUUGCAGUUUAGAUGAACUUCCUGAAACCCUCAUAGGACAAAGUGUUGCAGAACAGUGUAUCUUCCACGUGUUCCAUAUGUGGAAGAGGCUUUAAUUACAUACAGUGAGGACAAUCUACUGGGAGAAGGAACAUUUGGCAAGGUAUAUAGAGGUUCUUUUCAUGGUACUCCAGCAGCUGUUAAAAGGAUCAUGUGUGGCCAACAAGGGAUGGAGGACAGCGACAUUCAUCAUGAGAUAAAUGUUUCACUGAGACUGUCUCACCCCAACAUCGUCAGACUCAUGGCAGUUGCCCGCACUGAGUCCUGCUUUUUGUUGGCAGCUGAAUACAUUCAUGGCGCAACCCUGCAGCAAGUGCUUCACACAGACAGCUGCUUGGUGAAGCUUGAAGGGGAUGAUGCCGGUUUCAUAUCACUGGACUUAUCCAUGGCAGUAGAGUACAUCCAUGCACAGAGAAUCAUUCACCAGGAUAUAAAGCCAGCAAAUGUCAUGGUUCACCACCCUUCUAAAAAGGCAGUCCUGACAGACUGGGGCAUGGCAAACAUAAGAGACACUGUGAUGCUUCGUCAAGGGAGUAAGUUCACUGCCCAG